UCGCUUGACAGGUAGAGUUACGAGCGCGAAUCACCUGUCACUCUCGCUCGAGCGCACCUGUUGCGUCCUUAUAGACUUUUUGUCCUCAACUUUAUCUUUUGGUUUUACAUUUUUGUCUGUGUCAAGCAAAGUCGCCUUGUCUACCCAAACCCCUCCGUGUUUGGAGCAAAGUUCACCUCUGUGAGAGAACAGAUUGAUAUGGAGCCUUGAAGAAGAGUUUACCGCAAGACUUUCUGGAAACGGGAGGAUUUAUCGGCGAACUGAAGCACGGGACCGUAGAUUCUCUCUGCUGAGGGUGGAUGUCGUAGAACAUGAAUGCUUUGGGGACCCCAACAAAUCCCACCAAUGGGGUGGCCAGAUCGGACAGCAAGAUCAGUGCCAAAACCCUGUUCGGUGAGUAAACAUCACAUUUAUUUGUAAAUUAAAGGAGCUG